UAAACCGUUCGAGUUCAGGUUUA
rnacentral:siRNA from 1 species